CUCUCCUGUGGGAGGGGGCCCCGAACUUUCCUGCCAACCGUCACCAACUGCCCCGCUCUGCUCUAGCAGAGAGUUGGGCUUCUCAACCAGAGGCAGCCCCGCCAAGCUCAGAAAACCAACCGUCAAUUCCCACCGCCAUCCCGCAGGGCAUCGACCCGGGCCGGGGCUCCCGCUUCUCAAGGUGCGUAGCAUUUUGCUGCCCCCAUGGCUGGAUGGGCAAGGCGGGACCUGUCCCUCCCCGGCCAUCCUACGGAUGAAGACCAACGAGGGCCUGAGAACUUGCUAGAUCAUGCCACAGAUCUGUACGGCCAAAAAUAAGGAUGAACUUUUCCAGUUUAUUGCUCUAUCUGCUAAACCACUGUGCUUCUUGAAGUCCUAAUUAAAGUUGACCUUCCAUUUGCGAAAUGA